GAUGAACGCUAGCUACAGGCUUAACACAUGCAAGUCGAGGGGCAGCAUGGUCUUAGCUUGCUAAGGCCGAUGGCGACCGGCGCACGGGUGAGUAACACUUAUCCAACCUGCCGUCUACUCUUGGACAGCCUUCUGAAAGGAAGAUUAAUACAAGAUGGCAUCAUGAGUUCACAUGUUCACAUGAUUAAAGGUAUUCCGGUAGACGAUGGGGAUGCGUUCCAUUAGAUAGUAGGCGGGGUAACGGCCCACCUAGUCUUCGAUGGAUAGGGGUUCUGAGAGGAAGGUCCCCAACAUUGGAACUGAGACACGGUCCAAACUACUACGGGAGGAAGCAGUGAGGAAGAAUGGGCAAUGGGCGAGAGACUGAACCAGCCAAGUAGCGUGAAGGAUGACUGGCCUAUGGGUUGUAAACUUCUUUUAUAAAGGAAUAAAGGCGGGUAUGUAUGCCCGUUUGAAUGUACUUUAUGAAUAAGGAUCGGCUAACUCCGUG
rnacentral:rRNA from 1 species